AAGGGACUUUGCAGAUGUAGUUAAGGUUAAGAACUUCAAAAUAGAGGGAGUGGCCUGAAUUACCCAGGUGGGUCCAAUCUAACCACUUGAGUCCUGAGAAUCAGAGAAUUUUCUUCAGCUGGAGUCAAAGAGCUGCAGCAGAAGAGGAAAGCAGGAGAGAUGAGGCAAAAGGGGAAGUCAAAGAGAUUCAAAGCCUGAGAAGGGCUAGACCUUCCCUUGAUGGCUUUGAAGGGGACCAUGAGCCAAGGAAUAUAGGCAGCCUUUGGAAGUUGAGAAAGACUUUGACAAGCAAAAAGGAGAUGGAAGCCUCAGUCUUAUAAUCACAUGGGACUGAAUUUGGCCAACAACUGAAAUGAGUUUGGCAGUGGAUUCUUCCUAGAGACUCUUGAGAAAAGCCCUGCAGCCUGACACUUUGCUUUCAGCCUUCUGAGAACUGGAGCAAAAGAAGCAACAAAGACCACUGGACUUCUGACCUACAGAACUAGGAAAAUAUUUGUGAGAAGUGAAAGAAGUAUUAUUGGAUUCACAGACCCUUCCCAAUACCCAGGAAAGCACACUGUUAGAAUUGUAUUUACUUCACCUCCUGUUGUGUCACAUAUGAUGUCAAGAAGAUAUUUUUAUGAAUCUAAGCACAGAGGUACAUUUGGAUAAGCAGUUGGUUGAAACCUGG